CUGACCGUAAACGAUGCCAACUAGCGAUCCGCCGAUGGAACACUUGCCAUGGUGGGGAGCUUCCCGGAAACGAAAGUCUUCCGGUUCCGGGGGAAGUAUGGUUGCAAAGCUGAAACUUAAAGGAAUUGACGGAAGGGCACCACCAGGAGUGGAGCCUGCGGCUUAAUUUGACUCAACACGGGGAAACUCACCCGGCCCGGACACCGUGAGGAUUGACAGAUUGAUAGCUUUUUCAUGAUUCGGUGGAUGGUGGUGCAUGGCCGUUCUUAGUUCGUGGAGCGAUUUGUCUGGUUUAUUCCGAUAACGAGCGAGACUCUGGCCUACUAACUAGUCUGGGCAUUGUCACUGUGCCUAGCACUUCUUAGAGGGAUUUUCGGUGUUCAGCCGCACGAAAUUGAGCAAUAACAGGUCUGUGAUGCCCUUAGAUGUCCGGGGCUGCACGCGCGCUACACUGGCAAAAUCAACGUGCCUGUCCUUUGCCGAAAGGCAUUGGUAAACCCGUGAAAAUUUGCCGUGAUUGGGAUCGGAAAUUGCAAUUAUUUUCCGUGAACGAGGAAUUCCAAGUAAGUGCGAGUCAUCAACUCGCGUUG
rnacentral:rRNA from 3 species